AACGAACGCUGGCGGCGCGCCUAACACAUGCAAGUCGAACGAGAAGGCGUCGCAAGACGCUUGUACAGUGGCGAACGGGUGAGUAAUGCGUGGGUAACCUACCCUUGAGUGGGGAAUAACUCGCCGAAAGGCGGGCUAAUACCGCGUACGCUUCUCGGUCUGCGGAUCGAGAAGGAAAGCUAUGCCGUGGGCAUGGCGCUCAAGGAUGGGCUCACGUCCUAUCAGCUUGUUGGUAGGGUAACGGCCUACCAAGGCAACGACGGGUAGCUGGUCUGAG
rnacentral:rRNA from 1 species